rnacentral:rRNA from 1 species
UACGUAGGGGGCGAGCGUUGUCCGGAAUCAUUGGGCGUAAAGAGCUCGUAGGCGGUUCAGCAAGUCGGCUGUGAAAUUCCGAGGCUCAACCUCGGAACUGCAGUCGAUACUGCUGUGACUCGAGUCCGGUAGAGGAGAAUGGAAUUCCCGGUGUAGCGGUGAAAUGCGCAGAUAUCAGGAAGAACACCGGUGGCGAAGGCGGCUCGCUGGGCCAGUUCUGACACUCAUCCGCGAAAGCGUGGGGAGCAAACAGG